rnacentral:rRNA from 1 species
GACGAACGCUGGCGGCGUGCUUAAUACAUGCAAGUCGAGCGGACAGGCCCUGCUUUUGCGCGGUGCUCGAUUGGCGAACGGGUGAGUAACACGUGUGUAACCUCCCCUUGUCUUACGGAUAUCUUUAGGAAACUGGGGCUAAUACCGGAUAGGAGCUCCUGCUGCACGGUGGGGGUUGGAAAGUUUCGGCGGUUGGGUAUGGUCUCGCGGCUUAUCGGCUGGUUGGUGGGGUAGUGGCUGACCAAGCCUUGGACGGGUAGCCGGCCUGAGAGGGUGACCGGCCACAUUGGGACUGAGAGACGGCCCAGACUCCUACGGGAGGGAGCAGUGGGGAAUAUUGCACAAUGGGCGGAAGCCUGAUGCAGCAACGCCGCGUGCGGGAUGACGGCCUUCGGGUUGUAAACCGAUUUCGCCUGUGACGAAGCGUGAGUGACGGUAAUGGGUAAAGAAGCACCGGCUAACUACGUG